rnacentral:rRNA from 1 species
GGGUUGUGAGGUUAAGCGACUAAGCGUACACGGUGGAUGCCCUGGCAGUCAGAGGCGAUGAAGGACGUGCUAAUCUGCGAUAAGCGUCGGUAAGGUGAUAUGAACCGUUAUAACCGGCGAUUUCCGAAUGGGGAAACCCAGUGUGUUUCGACACACUAUCAUU